CCACCCCAUUGGCCACCCCAAGCACCGGAUCACAGCGGUCAAAAGUUUUGACGGCUGUGGAAAAAUGCGGAACCUUUCUCGCACCGCUAGUACACUGCCGGACCCUUUAGCCGCGCGCAGCGCGCACACGUCCUGUAUUUGAAUUAAACGGCUCAAGCAUGCCCUGAAUGCCUGUUACCACCUGACGCUUCGACCGGCACCUGCGGCUAAGUGAAGAAACCCAAAACAGAAAGAUUGAUCGAGAGCAGGACAGAAGAGUCCUCCCUGAGGAGUGGCCCCAGUGGAUCCCCAGAUUCCCACAGAAGAUUCAGACAGCGAGAGAGAGGAGCCUCCAACAACGAGUGGCGGCCCAAGGUACCUCCAGACAUUUCCAAA